rnacentral:rRNA from 1 species
GAUGAACGCUGGCGGCGUGCCUAAUACAUGCAAGUCGAGCGAACAGACGAGGAGCUUGCUCCUCUGACGUUAGCGGCGGACGGGUGAGUAACACGUGGAUAACCUACCUAUAAGACUGGGAUAACUUCGGGAAACCGGAGCUAAUACCGGAUAAUAUAUUUAACCGCAUGGUUCAAUAGUGAAAGACGGUUUUGCUGUCACUUAUAGAUGGAUCCGCGCCGCAUUAGCUAGUUGGUAAGGUAACGGCUUACCAAGGCGACGAUGCGUAGCCGACCUGAGAGGGUGAGCGGCAAAACGGGAACUGAGACACGGUCCAGACUCCUACGGGAGGCAGCAGUAGGGAAUCUUCAGCAAUGGGCGAAAGCCUGACGGAGCAACGCCGCGUGAGUGAUGAAGGUCUUCGGAUCGUAAAAAUCUGUUAUUAGGGAAGAACAAAUGUGUAAGUAACUAUGCACGUCUUGACGGUACAUAAUCAGAAAGCCACGGCUAACUACGUG